rnacentral:rRNA from 1 species
AUUGAACGCUGGCGGCAGGCCUAACACAUGCAAGUCGAGCGGAUGAAGGGAGCUUGCUCCUGGAUUCAGCGGCGGACGGGUGAGUAAUGCCUAGGAAUCUGCCUGGUAGUGGGGGAUAACGUCCGGAAACGGGCGCUAAUACCGCAUACGUCCUGAGGGAGAAAGUGGGGGAUCUUCGGACCUCACGCUAUCAGAUGAGCCUAGGUCGUAUUAGCUAGUUGGUGGGGUAAAGGCCUACCAAGGCGACGAUCCGUAACUGGUCUGAGAGGAUGAUCAGUCACACUGGAACUGAGACACGGUCCAGACUCCUACGGGAGGCAGCAGUGGGGAAUAUUGGACAAGGGGCGAAAGCCUGAUCCAGCCAUGCCGCGUGUGUGAAGAAGGUCUUCGGAUUGUAAAGCACUUUAAGUUGGGAGGAAGGGCAGUAAGUUAAUACCUUGCUGUUUUGACGUUACCAACAGAAUAAGCACCGGCUAACUUCGUG